CCCAAACUCUUCCCAUGACUGAUUUUUUUCUUAGCGACUCUGGUCGUCUCUAAAGUUAUGUAUUUGAAGUCUUGAUUUUCCACUUUUUUUGUCAAGAUCUUUUGAUUUUUUGUAGAAUAAAUCAAGUUUCAGAUCUGAAAGAAAAUUUGAGAUUUUCAAUAAUCGAUUUCUUUGAAAUAAAUUUUAGAUGUCGAUGAACUCAGCAUAUUGGUGUUACAGAUGCAACCGAUUUGUUAGGGUGUGGACCCAAGAUUCGAUUGCUUGCCCCGAUUGCAACGGCGGGUUUGUUGAAGAAAUCGAAAAUGCGAACCCAUCUUCGAUAUCUGACUCCCGCAGACGGCGUUAUCCGGCCGCCGCUAUGUACAUGAUGCGGAAUCCGGAGUCGGGACCCGGGUCGGGUUUGGGUUCCAGUCCAAGGAUUAGGAGGAGCCGGAGAAAUGGGGGUGAUAGGUCACCGUUCAACCCGGUGAUUGUCCUCCGUGGGCCCAAUGAUGGUGGUGGCGGCGCCACGGCCGGAGGCGGAUUUGCCCUUUAUUAUGAUGAUGGGACCGGGUCGGGUUUACGUCCCUUACCAGAUACUAUGUCGGAGUUUCUGCUAGGGUCGGGUUUUGACAGAUUGCUGGAUCAAUUGUCUCAAAUUGAGGCGAAUGGUAUUGGGAGAAUUGACAGUAAUCCGCCUGCAUCGAAGGCAGCAAUUGAAUCUAUGCCCACAGUCGAGAUAAAUGAUCAACAUAUAGCUAUCGAAUCACACUGUGCUGUUUGUAAAGAGGCUUUCGACUUGGGGAGUGAGGCUCGGGAAAUGCCCUGCAAGCAUUUAUAUCAUCAAGACUGCAUAUUGCCAUGGCUUUCAUUGCGGAAUUCAUGUCCCGUUUGUCGACACGAAUUACCAACUGAUGAUGACAAUAAUGAUAGUAACUAUCAUCGUGAUACAACCUCAGUAAACAGAGGAGGGAACGAGAUUGUGAAUGAAGAUGAGACCGUUGGACUCACAAUAUGGAGGUUGCCAGGAGGUGGGUUCGCUGUAGGAAGGUUUUCGGGAGGGAGGAGAGGUGGGGAUAGAGAGUUACCAGUCGUAUACACAGAGAUGGAUGGUGGAUUUAACAAUAAUGGGAUUCCGAGGAGGAUUUCAUGGGGGUCGAACGGGAGUGUUUCGCAGGAAAGAGGUGGGUUGAUGAGAGUUCUCCGUGGUUUGUUCUCUUGUUUUGGCGGGAAUCAAUCAUCCACUUCUAGUUCUAGUUCAGAUUCUAGAAUUAGUCAGAGUGGUAGUUUCGGCUCCACAUCAAGACGACGUAGAGGAUGGGGAUUUGAUGUUAAUGAAGGAAACAGCAGAAGAUGGUGAUUUCUUAAGUGAGGUUCCUACCAUAUCAAUUGACUUUGUGGAAGGUUGGGGAUGAAUUUGGUGGUAAAUUUGUUGUCAUUCGUCAUGGUUACAUGGAAAUGGAAUGAUCAAUGUUGGCUGAUUUGUUUGGUGUUCGUCCAAGAAUUGUUGCUCAAUGAUAUUUUGGUUAAUAACUGAAAUGGAGAUGGUAUGUGAGCAAAACAGGACAAGGAGAUGAAGUAGCAGAGGAGAAUAACUCCAAAACAAGCUGUCUUAUGGUGGUAGAAUCGGCUUCUGAGAACUGGGAAGUAGAAG
rnacentral:lncRNA from 1 species